AACUGCGAAUGGCUCAUUAUAUAAGUUAUAGUUUAUUUGAUAGCACCUUACUACAUGGAUAACUGUGGUAAUUCUAGAGCUAAAACAUGCUAAAAAUCCCGACUUCGGAAGGGAUGUGUUUAUUAGAUUAAAAACCAAUGCCCUUCGGGGCUGCUUGGUGAUUCAUAAUAACCUCUCGAAUCGCACGGCCUUGCGCCGGCGAUGGUUCAUUCAAAUUUCUUCCCUAUCAACUUUCGAUGCGAAGGUAUUGUCUUCGCAUGGUUACAACGGGUAACGGAGGGUUAGGGCUCGACCCCGGAGAAGGAGCCUGAGAAACGGCUACUACAUCCAAGGAAGGCAGCAGGCGCGCAAAUUACCCAAUCCCGACACGGGGAGGUAGUGACAAUAAAUACUGAUACAGGGCUCUUCUGGGUCUUGUAAUUGGAAUGAGUACAAUUUAAAUCCCUUAACGAGGAACAAUUGGAGGGCAAGUCUGGUGCCAGCAGCCGCGGUAAUUCCAGCUCCAAUAGCGUAUAUUAAAGUUGUUGUGGUUAAAAAGCUCGUAGUUGAACCUUGGGCCUGGCUGGCCGGUCCCCCUCACCGGGUGCACUGGUCCGGCCGGGCCUUUCCCUCUGUGGAACCGCAUGCCCUUCACUGGGUGUGCCGGGGAAACAGGACUUUUACUUUGAAAAAAUUAGAGUGCUCCAGGCAGGCCUAUGCUCGAAUACAUUAGCAUGGAAUAAUAGAAUAGGACGUGUGGUUCUAUUUUGUUGGUUUCUAGGACCGCCGUAAUGAUUAAUAGGGACAGUCGGGGGCAUCAGUAUUCAAUUGUCAGAGGUGAAAUUCUUGGAUCUAUUGAAGACUAACUACUGCGAAAGCAUUUGCCAAGGAUGUUUUCAUUGAUAAGGAACGAAAGUUAGGGGAUCGAAGACGAUCAGAUACCGUCGUAGUCUUAACUAUAAACUAUGCCGACUAGGGAUCGGACGGUGUUUAUACUUGACCCGUUCGGCACCUUUCGAGAAAUCAAAGUGCUUGGGCUCCAGGGGGAGUAUGGUCGCAAGGCUGAAACUUAAAGAAAUUGACGGAAGGGCACCACCAGGGGUGGAGCCUGCGGCUUAAUUUGACUCAACACGGGGAAACUCACCAGGUCCAGACACAAUGAGGAUUGACAGAUUGAGAGCUCUUUCUUGAUUUUGUGGGUGGUGGUGCAUGGCCGUUCUUAGUUGGUGGAGUGA
rnacentral:rRNA from 1 species